AACACUGUGGGCCAUUCCGGCCCCCUCCAUCAAAAUCUUCCUAAGAGGAGGUGCCACACUCUGGGCAGUUUGCAUCACACAUCUGUGAUUGUUUGUUUUUUUAAACCGUGUGCUGCAUCGCCGAAUGUGAGGGAACACACCGAGGGCAGGCUCUUUCUGCACAGCCACCACCCUGUGCCAAGAAUCUGCUAGGCAUUUACCAGCUGACGAAAUCUGCCGUGGUGAAUACUAAAAACUUAAGUGUUCACAGGUAUUGCAAGUCCAUGCAAGAUGAAGCAGGGAAGACAGCACCACACAUGUGGGGAAAGGUCCAGGGCAAACGGGAACACACUCUCAUAUUCAUUUUCUAGAAAGAAACCAGGUGCAGCCUUUCCCAGCCUCUGAGAUAAACUGGUGACCUCCUCCGAGCAGGACAGGAGAUGCUCAAUUUGGCUUUCUGGAAAUAGCCAGGCCAAAUAGCAGACAUGGGCAACAGCAAGAAAGAGAACGGAGUACAUGCAGACUACGUGGUGACGGAGCAGCCAUGGAACUCUAGGCUGACCAGGGCAGCCAUCUAACUCCUGCCACAGCACUUGUCCAUAUCCUGGAAUGUUCCAGCAUUUGCCUCUGUUCAAACGAUCCCUCCAGAACCGUGCUACCCUGCCUUCCUUCAAACAUGCUGCGUUGCUCCCUUUCUACUGCCUUGAUAACCCUCCACUGCAUUAGCCCUUCGUUUGUUUACUUAGUGUGUGUGUGUGUGUGUGUGUGUGUGUGUGUGUGUGUGUGUGUGUGUGUGUGUGUGCCCAUGUGCACACCUGAGUGGAUUUGUACACCUCAUCUUCACAGGUGCCCAGGAGGUGAGUCCCCUGGAACUGGAGUCACAGGAAGUUGUGAGCCGUCUGAUGUGGGGCUGAGAACCAAACUCAGAUCCUCUGCAAGAGCACUAAACUCUCUUCAUAGCUGAGCUGUCUCUCCAGCUCCACAUUUGCCCUGUCUUUCCAGACCCCUGUAUUGUUCCUUUCUUGUUUGCUUGUUGUCUGUCUCCCUCUCUUGAAUAAACUUGAUGAAGGCAGA